GAGAGAGAGAAAGAGAGAAUAAAAGAGAUAUCAAUGGUGGAAUGGUGGCGGUAGUGGUGGUAGCAGUUUCCGUUUCCGUUUUCCUCGAAUCGAGCUUCUCUUGAUCCCUUUUUCUUUUUUUCUCUUUUUCAUAUAUAUCUCGUUUCGUUUCGUUCGUGUGAU
rnacentral:ribozyme from 1 species